UACAGAGGUCUCAAGCGUUUGUUCGGAUUCAUUGGGCGUAAAGGGUGCGUAGGCGGCGCGGUAAGUCGGGUGUGAAAUCUUGGAGCUUAACUCCGAAACUGCAUUCGAUACUGGCGUGCUUGAGGACUGGAGAGGAGACUGGAAUUCAUGGUGUAGCAGUGAAAUGCGUAGAGAUCAUGAGGAAGACCAGUGGCGAAGGCGGGUCUCUGGACAGUUCCUGACACUGAGACACGAAGGCCGGGGGGAGCAAACGGG
rnacentral:rRNA from 1 species